GAGUUUGAUCCUGGCUCAGAAUCAACGCUGGCGGCGUGCCUAACACAUGCAAGUCGAACGAGAAAGUGGAGCAAUCCAUGAGUAAAGUGGCGCACGGGUGAGUAACACGUGACUAACCUACCCUUGAGUGGGGAAUAACCUCGGGAAACCGGGGCUAAUACCGCAUAAUACCUUCGGGUCAAAGGAGCAAUUCGCUUAAGGAGGGGGUCGCGGGCUGAUUAGCUAGUUGGUGGGGUAAUGGCCUACCAAGGCAAUGAUCAGUAUCCGGCCUGAGAGGGCGCACGGACACACUGGAACUGAAACACGGUCCAGACUCCUACGGGAGGCAGCAGUGGGGAAUUUUGCACAAUGGGGGGAAACCCUGAUGUAGCAACGCCGCGUGGAGGAUGAAGUCCCUUGGGGAUGUAAACUCCUUUCGACCGGGACGAUAAUGACGGUACCGGUGGAAGAAGCCCCGGCUAACUCUGUGCCAGCAGCCGCUGUAAC
rnacentral:rRNA from 1 species